UAUGAUACACUAGAAAAGCUGUUUUAGCAACCCUUGGCGCUUCUUUCCUUUCGCCAAGCAUAUUACAAACGGUACAACCGUUAAAGGAGAUCUUUAUG
rnacentral:ncRNA from 2 species